GACAGAGGCCCCAAGCGUUAGGCGGAAUCACUGGGCUUAAAGCGUGUGUAGGCGGAUCGUUAAGUGUCUUGUGAAAUCCCACGGCUCACCCGUGGAACUGCUGGGCAUACUGGCGAUCUUGGGCCAACUAGGGGCAGCCGGAACAAGCGGUGGAGCGGUGAAAUGCGUAGAUAUCGCUUGGAACGCCGAAGGUGAAAACAGGCUGCUGGGGUUGUACCGACGCUGAGACACGAAAGCCAGGGGAGCAAACGGG
rnacentral:rRNA from 1 species